AUGGUACAAAAUCACAUAACCUUCUUACGCUGCAUAUUCAACUUCUAUCACAAAUUUCUCACUAUUACACAUACACACCCAAUUUCUAACAUCUUUUUGUUUCUUAUUGAAAACUUUAUUUUCAUAAACCCUUUAGUACAUAACUACACAUAUUAUACUAACAAGCCAAUACUUUUAUACAUCAUCAAAAACCAGAUAAAAAUAAGGCCUCAUGCAAAUCCUUAUCUUUCCACUUACAAAAGUCAACCUAAUCAUCUUCCACGUUUUUUUAUAGAAAAAACUCAACAUACACUAGUCAUGGUUGUCAUAUCCAUGUUAUUCAUUUAUAAUUUCAAAUCAUGUUGGCCAUUCAAUCAUAAAUUAUUUAAACAAUAA